rnacentral:rRNA from 1 species
UACGUAGGGUGCAAGCGUUGUCCGGAAUUAUUGGGCGUAAAGAGCUCGUAGGCGGUUAGUCGCGUCUGCUGUGAAAACUCGGGGCUUAACUCCGGGCCUGCAGUGGGUACGGGCUGACUAGAGUGCGGUAGGGGAGACUGGAAUUCCUGGUGUAGCGGUGAAAUGCGCAGAUAUCAGGAGGAACACCGGUGGCGAAGGCGGGUCUCUGGGCCGAUACUGACGCUGAGGAGAGAAAGCGUGGGGAGCAAACAGG